rnacentral:rRNA from 11 species
AUUGGUGGCCUAAAUACCUUAAAGGUGCCAAAUUCCAUCCGAUCUUGGAAGCUAAGCAUAGCCAACUCUGGUUAGUGCUUGGGUAGGAGACAGCUAAUAAAUGCCAAGUGCAGGCUAUG